rnacentral:rRNA from 1 species
GCCUAACACAUGCAAGUCGAACGGCAGCAGCAGAGCUUGCUCUGGCUGGCAGUGGCGGACGGGUGAGUAACGCGUAGGAAUCUACCCAGUAGCGGGGGAAGCCCGGGGAAACUCGGAUCAAUACCGCAUACGCCCUACGGGGGAAAGCGGGGAUCUUCGGACCUCGCACUAUUGGAGGAGCCUGCGUUGGAUUAGGUGUUGGUGGGGUAAAAGCCUACCAAGGCGACGAUCCAUAGCUGGUCUGAGGGACGAUCAGCCACACUGGAACUGAGACACGGUCCAGACUCCUACGGGAGCAGCAGUAGGGAAUCUUGUGCAAUGGGGGAAACCCUGACACAGCCAUGCGCGUGUGUGAAGAAGGCCUUAGGGUUGUAAAGCACUCUCAGUAGGGAAACACAGCAGGGCUAAUACCUCUGUGGAAAUGACAUUACCUACAGAAGAAUCGCGGGCUACCUCCGUGCCACCCGCCCGCGGUAAU